UACGUAGGGGGGCUAGCGUUGUCCGGAAUUAUUGGGCGUAAAGAGCUCGUAGGUGGUUCGUCACGUCGGAUGUGAAACUCUGGGGCUUAACCCCAGACCUGCAUUCGAUACGGGCGAGCUUGAGUAUGGUAGGGGAGUCUGGAAUUCCUGGUGUAGCGGUGGAAUGCGCAGAUAUCAGGAGGAACACCAAUGGCGAAGGCAGGACUCUGGGCCAUUACUGACACUGAGGAGCGAAAGCGUGGGGGAGCGAACAGG
rnacentral:rRNA from 1 species